rnacentral:rRNA from 1 species
GCCUAACACAUGCAAGUCGAGCGGCAGCGACAACAUUGAACCUUCGGGGGAUUUGUUGGGCGGCGAGCGGCGGACGGGUGAGUAAUGCCUGGGAAUAUGCCCUGAUGUGGGGGAUAACCAUUGGAAACGAUGGCUAAUACCGCAUAAUCUCUUCGGAGCAAAGAGGGGGACCUUCGGGCCUCUCGCGUCAGGAUUAGCCCAGGUGAGAUUAGCUUGUUGGUGAGGUAAGAGCUCACCAAGGCGACGAUCUCUAGCUGGUCUGAGAGGAUGAGCAGCCACACUGGAACUGAGACACGGUCCAGACUCCUACGGGAGGCAGCAGUGGGGAAUAUUGCACAAUGGGGGAAACCCUGAUGCAGCCAUGCCGCGUGUAUGAAGAAGGCCUUCGGGUUGUAAAGUACUUUCAGUCGUGAGGAAGGUUGAGUGGUUAAUAGCUGCUUAAUUUGACGUUAGCGACAGAAGAAGCACC